AGUCCCGCGAGAGCAGUGCUUGGUCGGGACCUCGAAGCCGGAGCCCGAGCGGGAGAGGCCGCGGAGACCCCGGCCCGGCGCAGGCAGAGACGCACCUGCGGGAGGCGGGCGCGCCGGCUGGAGAGGAGGCCGUGGGGCGGAGCGGCUCAGCGUUCUGCUCGGCUGCAGCGGCCCCUGCCGGAGACCCGGGCGCCGUGGUCUUCUUUAUAAUUGAAGGAUUGUCUCUCUGUUUUUAUUUGGGGUGGGGGUGGGGGUGGGGGGCGGCGCAGUGACUUGCUUCGACUUUGUCAGCUUCCAGGGUUCAUUCCACUGCCCAAAUAUGUAGUGAGUUACUACCGGCUUUGCUUCCUCCUUCAGCAAACGGCUGGACCACACAACUUCAGGAGAGAGGAUUUUAAAUGUUAGGGUCAUUUUCCCUAAAACGAUUUCAAAUGACGUCUCUUUAUCUAUAGGUAACCCAGCUUAAAACAACUGCGGUUGGCCCGGGAUCCUCACUGCCCUUUGCCAAGUACCAGAGAAAGAUAAGGCCUACUAGGAACCAGAGAAAACCAGAACCAGCCACCCCUUGUUACUUUUAGAUCAUUAAUACAUCAUUAUAUGCUCAACUCCCGACCCGUAGAAGAGAAUCGCCGCCAUUUUCUGAUAGUGCAUUGUAUGAAGAGGCAUGUUUAUGAAAUGCACCUGUGCGUCUAGAGUUCCUCCCGGCAUAUGCUUGCAUACCUCCCCACUCCACAUCUAACGCCUUACAAUUCCCCAGCUUCCCAAAGCUCUGGAAGAAGGGGGUCUUUAGAGUGAAAGUUUACUCCUUCUCUAUUCCUGGCCAGGAAUGAAACCCGCUUGCCGUUUUUUCCAGUUGGUGUGCUUUCUUUGCAACUGAUACAGACUAGGAAAAGAACGCAAUUUACCAGUAACAGUAGAGCUGGGAUUUAAAUCUAAGUGCUUUGACUUCAAAGACAAGGUUCCAAGCUGCUACACAUACCAAUUCUCGUUAAAGUGUAUUCCAUUUCUUUUGUGCUUUCAUAUUGACCAUUGUGUGUUAAUCCUUUCAAUUGGAAGAAGAGGGAGACAGUGCCAGUUAUUGCAAACUUUCACAGUCCACAGGCCCGAUAUGUAGCCUUCACCACCCACAGGUUCUGCCACUUCUGGGGCAUUAUAUUCCAUCAAGAUCCAGGCACCCGCCAUCCACAUACCAGCCCUGGAACUCGUCCCUUCUCCCAGACUUGGAAACGCCACCUCUCCCUGACCAAUGUCGAGCCACUUCCUCAUCUUGAUACAUCAGCCACUAUCCUUUCCAUCUUUCAGGCAACUCCAGCUUAAUUUCUCGAUGGCCUUGCCCUUCUAAAAGGCCGUUCUCUUUUCCCAGAUGACUUUUUCCUAUCCCCUCCACAGUAACUCCCCUCAUCCUUCCAGUCUCAAUUCAAUUGUUCCUUGGUGGGGUGGGGCGGGGGGAGCCUUCUUAAACCCUCCUCCCUCACAACUGCAUGAGGUCCCUUGUCUCUAAUAUAAGCUCCUGUAGCACCAUGGCACUUAUCCCAGUUGAGAUUUUAAAUAUAUUUCUGUGUAUUUGAUUAAAGUUUCUCUCCUCCACCAGGCUGUGAAGGUGGCUUCUUGUUUUGUUUUGC
rnacentral:lncRNA from 1 species